rnacentral:rRNA from 1 species
UACGGAGGGGGCUAGCGUUGUUCGGAAUUACUGGGUGUAAAGCGCACGUAGGCGGCUUUGCAAGUUAGAGGUGAAAGCCCGGGGCUCAACUCCGGAAUUGCCUUUAAAACUGCAUCGCUAGAAUUGUGGAGAGGUAAGUGGAAUUCCGAGUGUAGAGGUGAAAUUCGUAGAUAUUCGGAAGAACACCAGUGGCGAAGGCGACUUACUGGACACAUAUUGACGCUGAGGUGCGAAAGCGUGGGGAGCAAACAGG